rnacentral:rRNA from 1 species
UACGUAGGUGGCAAGCGUUGUCCGGAUUUACUGGGCGUAAAGAGCGCGCAGGCGGUCGGAUCAGUCGAAUGUGAAAGCCCCCGGCUCAACUGGGGAGGGUCACGCGAUACUGAUCGACUCGAAGGCAGGAGAGGGAAGUGGAAUUCCCGGUGUAGUGGUGAAAUGCGUAGAUAUCGGGAGGAACACCAGUGGCGAAGGCGACUUCCUGGCCUGUUCUUGACGCUGAGGCGCGAAAGCUAGGGGAGCAAACGGG